ACCCGGCUGGCUCAGUUGGUAGAGCAUGUGACUCUUGCUCUUGGGGUUGUGAGUUCAAGCCCCACACUGGGUG
rnacentral:tRNA from 1 species